CUUUAUGGUUUUAUUUAAAUUAAUCUCUGCACACAGAUUCUCACAACCAUUUAAACGUUUUCUAUCUGCAACAACGCUGCGCAGCGCAAUGAAGCGAACCCAUCCCUCGGCCGAUCGCAAUUCGCAGCCCAUUUCUGAAGCUCUCCUGCUGCAGGUGGACAGAAAAACGCCGGAAAUGCGGCUGCUGGAAAUCGCAUCCGGUUCGGGUCAACAUGCCGGAUUUUUGGCACCACUGAUUCCAAAUGUCGUUUAUCAGCCAACCGAGUACUCGUUGGAGGACUUUGAUUCAAUUGGUGCCUACGUCGCCGAUUGUCCGACGGGCAACAUUCGCUCGCCGCUCUUUGUGGACAUUUCCAAGGAGCUGCAGCAGUGGGAAGCGAAGACCCUGGAGGAAGUGAAGGUGGCCAGCUAUGAUUACAUGCUCAACUGCAACAUGAUGCACAUCAGCCCCUGGGCCUGCUCCGAGGGUCUCUUCCGCGCUGCCGGCCAGCUGCUAAAAGCGGGCGGCAAACUCUUCACCUACGGACCAUAUGCCCAGGAUGGCCAACUGACGCCCCAAAGCAAUGUGGACUUCGAUGCGAAUCUCAGGCAGCGCAAUCCCGCCUGGGGCAUCAGGGAUAUCAGCAAUCUCAAAGUGUUGGCCCAACAAAACGGUCUGCAACUGGAGCUAAUCACCAAUAUGCCGUCCAACAACAAGUUUUUGACUUGGCUCAAGAUCUCCAAAUAAAAAAUAUAUACGGCCGGAUUGAAGCACACAUAUUGUAUACCCUCUAUGCAUUCAUAACUACAUAUUGGCAAGAAGUUAUAUCAUCCAUCUAUAAUUGGACAAAUUCGAUUAAAUCAUAUCGCACUUUGCAGGGCGAGAGCCUGACGUGGAGAUCAAUCCCGACCUAUCCCAAAUCGAAGGCAGCUGGAUGACUAUUAAAAUCUCAUAUUUAAAGAACAAGAAACACAUGCAUAAAAUUUGUGAUGAUUGUAUAAAAUA
rnacentral:misc_RNA from 1 species